AAUUUUUUCAUUGAGAUAUGGUUUUUCCAAGUUACCUCUAUUUUUGUUUUCCCCUUGUAUACCAAAAAAAACAUGUUUUAACUGUGUGGAGCUUAGAAUGGUCAAGUUCAAUCUCAUUCAUACCCCCUAUUUUCCCUAGAUGCAAGAAAAAAAAUAGAAUGUACACAUGUCUUUCAUCCAAAAUGGACCCUCCAUCCUUCUCCUCCUCACUAUUCUCAUGAUCCAGGUCUGUCCACAUAGGCGUUGUCUACAUAGGCAUUGUUUACAUAUGUGUUGUCUACAACAUUCAAUUUUGGCCCACUAGAUCUUGGAAAAUGAGGCAUCACAAAAAAUAAGGAGGUUGUCCAUAGAAUUCUCUAUAGAAUCAAAAAAAUCUAGAAUCAUUCCAUAGUGUUCUUCAUAAAAGUCAGGUCCUUAUGAAUAAUAUGAAAGAGUUGUAUGUAAAAUGUUGAAUAACCAACUAUCCAACUUGAUGUUCUAGGAGGGGAAUGCCUUUGAUAAGAUCAUGAUCAACCCCAUGAUAAAUGAGAUAAUCUAGGGCCUUUAAUUCAAUUUAAAAAAAUACUUUUCUUGGAUGGACCCUAAGUGUCCCAUAUCCUAUGAUUCACACUUUUUGAUAGGCAAGAAUACGGAGCUUUUGCAGAGUGUCUCAGAAGAGUAGAGGAAAAAUUUCCUGAAGUCCAUGGCCUUAAUCAUGCCUAUAUUGGAGGGUCAUUCGAUCAUGUUAAAAAUUAAUCUCAAUGAAGAGGGUGUUGAAAUCAAGGAAACAUUUGAGGGAAUUCCAUAACUUUUUCCCCUUCAAGCAAUAUCACAGACAACAUGCACUCCUUUUCCUCCUCUACAUCAAUCAUGUGAAAAUCCAUACAAAAUAACAAAUGGAUUUCCAAUGAUUUGUCAAUAAUCCAUUUCUAUAAAAGGGCACAUUCAUCAUUAGACACAUAGAAGUUGGAUAAACCCAACAACCUUCCAUCCAAAGUCAACAAAAUUGAAACCCAUUUUUAAGAGUUGUUGGUGCCUCAUCCUAUAAAUGACAACAACGUUAGGAAAUAUGGAGACGUCAUCGGGGGCCCUAGGAAGAGUUAUCUUUUCUUUCUAACAACUUCCCCACCCUGAAAUCGGCUCAACCAAAGAUAGGGUCCAGUAGCUAGAAGAUCAUCGUACGUAUUGUGGUGUCCGGUGCGCCCUUGGCGGCCCCUGAAAAUAUGGAGGACAAAUUACCGUCCAUUCCCGGUCAUACUCAUAAUCGCAUCAGGUCUCUAAGGUGAACAACCUAUGGUCAGUAGAACAAUGUAGGUAAGGGAAGUCGACAAAACGGAUCUGUAAAUUCGGGAAAAGGAUUGGCUCUGAGGGCUGGGCCUAGGGGUCUGUGUCCUCAACUUGUGGACUUUCGACAGUCUUCCUGAGAUGCUAUUGCAGCGAGGGUGGGCAAUCACAUGCCAAUUGGGCUACGGACAUAGGAUAUCCCAUCGCAGGGGAUUUUCCCUAAGCAGUGAAUAGUCGACUCAGAAAUGGUAUGGACAGGGGGAUUCUAACUAUUUAAUUAAAAUAAAGCAUUGUGAUGGUCCCUACGAAUGUUGACGCAAUGUGAUUUCUACCCAGUUCUCUGAAUGUCAAAGUGAAGAAAUUCAACCAAGUGCGGGUAAACGAAUAGAGAAUUCAAUCCUUAGAAUCCUUGAGAUUGUAGCAAGGAUAAAGAUCAUGAAGGAUAGAGACUUGGAGAAGU
rnacentral:ncRNA from 1 species